rnacentral:lncRNA from 1 species
UACAGGUUUUUAAUGAAGAUACCAGAUCCUUGGAGAUUUCUCAAUCUUAUACUACUACACAAAGAGAAUCUAGUGAUUACAGUGUACCUUGCAAAAGGAAGAAAAUAGAACUAGGCUGGGAAGUAAUAAAAGAUCACCUUCAGAAGUCACAGAAUGAUUUUGAUCUUGUGCCUUGGCUACAGAUUGCAACCCAGUUAAUAUCAAAGUAUCCUGCAAGUUUACCUAACUGUGAGCUGUCUCCAUUACUGAUGAUACUAUCUCAGCUUCUACCCCAACAGCGACAUGGGGAACGUACACCAUAUGUGUUACGAUGCCUUACGGAAGUUGCAUUGUGUCAAGACAAGAGGUCAAACCUAGAAAGCUCACAAAAGUCAGAUUUAUUAAAACUCUGGAAUAAAAUUUGGUGUAUUACCUUUCGUGGUAUAAGUUCUGAGCAAAUACAAGCUGAAAACUUUGGCUUACUUGGAGCCAUAAUUCAGGGUAGUUUAGUUGAGGUUGACAGAGAAUUC